AACCAUAGAAACCUGCGGAGUACCUGCGGAAGGAUCAUUACCGAGUUUACAACUCCCAAACCCCUGUGAACAUACCUAUACGUUGCCUCGGCGGAUCAGCCCGCGCCCCGUAAAAAGGGACGGCCCGCCCGAGGACCCCUAAACUCUGUUUUUAGUGGAACUUCUGAGUAAAACAAACAAAUAAAUCAAAACUUUCAGCAAUGGAUCU
rnacentral:misc_RNA from 1 species